AGGUGUUUGCAUUAUUGAGAAUCAGAUGGUUUCUGGACUGAAUUUGCUACAUUUAUCCAAUGGGCAGAGAGAAACACAUAUGCAGUAGCAGCUUCCUUCCUCCUUUCCAAACCUCAUACUUUUAUUGGAUUGGCAGAAGUUCUUUUCUUAGGUUUUAUUCUUCUUCUACUGAGAUAAACACUUCUGAAUUUUCCAGAUUGUCAAGAGAAAGAGUAAAUAAUAGAGGGGGUUAAUCUGUUUGAAGUACCAUAUAUACAUGCAUGAAAUCUCCAGGGGAACCCACUUUGAACAAUCAAUAUACACUUAAAAAAUGAAGAACAUGAAGAAACCAAAGGAAGCUUCAUGAAAAAAGUAACGUGUGAACUGGCUUGGAAAGAUAAAUGGGAGUUUGGGUGGCACACAGUAGGAGGAAAGAUUACAGAAAGAAGAAUACAGAUUGAUUUGUCCAAUAUCAUAUAACUGAGAGGUGGCAGAACCACUGUGGAAUCCUAGGUUUUCUGACUCAUCUCUAAUCCGAACUGCUGAGGACAUCUUGUUUACUCUUCUUCAAAUAUUGCUAUUAUGAUUUCACUGUUUUGUACUGUCAUAGUCUGAUGAAUUAAGUGGUAUUCAAACUCUUCGUAUCUAAUUGGAAUCUGCCUUCCCACAGCAUUAAGGAGAGUUCUAAGAAGGUUAGUAGUUGCUAUAAGAAUUCCUAGAUGUGGUUGCCUUGCUGUGACCUUAAAAAGAUUUUUAAAACUUAGAGAAAAACUAAAAAUGUCUUGAAAACAACACAAAUCAUUAUAUAAUCAACUGCUCGACAAUAUGAUUUAGUGUGUAAGUUCUGUAGAAGUUCAGAGAAAAAGAUCAUUUGAACAUUGG